CCUCCUGUAUAGCCACUGGAUUCCCUGCUGCUCAUCGCCAGAUUGUUUCAUCAGUCUAUGUGGUUGUUUGCAUGCUGGCUCCUAUGUAUUUUGCCUUUGUGCCAUGUGUUUUAGCUUGUGUAGCUAAUAUUACUGUGUUUUUUCCACCUCGCCUCAGACUGCUGUGCAGUCUCAUGUUUUGCUUUCUCCCUGCCUGCCUGUGGACCUGUCUGCCUGUUGCCAGCUCUCCUGUGUUUCCGCUCUGUAGUGUGAAGUUGACCUGAAGAAGGAAGAGAAGGAAAGACGGGGUUUGGAUGAGUGGAAGAUGGAAUAAAAAAUUUGGAGUAGCAGCAUCUCCCUGCUCAGGUUGCAGCUUCACCCAUCUCCCUGGACUCCCUCCUCAUUGCCUACAUACCAGUCCAUCCUGUCUGCCUGGACUCUCUCCACAUUGCCACCAGUUUCCUCGAUCCUGCCUGCCUGCCCUCCUCAACCCAGCAUCAAUUUAUUUACGUUAAUAAACCUUUG